GUCUUCUAAAAAAACCUGUGGUACUAUAAAAAUGUACUUUUUGAAUGGCUAUGGUUCGAUUGUUUCAAAGACUUUCUUCCAUAUGUACCAAACAAGAAUGCACAAUUAUAUAUAUUUUCGAGGAGGAAAUGCUCUUAUGGAACAUGGAACUGUAAAAUGGUUUAACGCUGAAAAAGGUUAUGGCUUUAUCACUCGUGAAGACGGUAGCGAUGUAUUCGUACAUUUCUCUGCAAUCCAAGGUGACGGCUACAAGACACUUGAAGAAGGUCAAAGUGUUACUUUUGACAUCGAAGAAAGCGACCGCGGCCCUCAAGCUGUUAACGUUGUAAAAGACUAAUUUUAAAUUAAAAUUAAUCGGAGCUCAGGUAAAAUUACCUGAGCUCUUUU
rnacentral:sRNA from 1 species